UCCUUGUCUCGUUCCUGACCUUAGGGCUGACGCUCUCAGUUUUCUCCAUUGAGUGUGAUGUUUGCUGUGGGUUUUUCAUAUUAGGCCUUUAUUAUGUUAUCCCUCUGACCUACGUCGUUGAGGGAUUUUAUCAGGAAUGGAUGUUGUACUUUGUCACUCCUGCCUUCUUAUCAUGGAUUCAGCUUGGAUGUGGAGAAGCCCAUGGUCUUUCGAGAGGAUGGAGCUAGCUUCGGACAGAGUGUGGCCCAGUUUGGCAGAUCAAGGAACCUGGGCAGAGUCUUCUUAUCUUCUGACUCAGGUUGUCGGUUGUCAUCUCUGAUGUAGUUUGAUGGCGAGUCUGGUAAGGG